rnacentral:rRNA from 1 species
GACGAACGUUGGCGGCGUGCUUAACACAUGCAAGUCGAACGGAAAGGCCCUGCUUUUGUGGGGUGCUCGAGUGGCGAACGGGUGAGUAACACGUGAGCAACCUGCCCUUGACUUUGGGAUAACUUCAGGAAACUGGGGCUAAUACCGGAUAGGAGCUCCUGCUGCAUGGUGGGGGUUGGAAAGUUUCGGCGGUUGGGGAUGGACUCGCGGCUUAUCAGCUUGUUGGUGGGGUAGUGGCUUACCAAGGCUUUGACGGGUAGCCGGCCUGAGAGGGUGACCGGCCACAUUGGGACUGAGAUACGGCCCAGACUCCUACGGGAGGCAGCAGUGGGGAAUAUUACACAAUGGGCGGAAGCCUGAUGCAGCAACGCCGCGUGCGGGAUGACGGCCUUCGGGUUGUAAACCGCUUUCGCCUGUGACGAAGCGUGAGUGACGGUAAUGGGUAAAGAAGCACCGGCUAACUACGUGCCAGCAGCCGCGGUGAUACGUAGGGUGCGAGCGUUGUCCGGAUUUAUUGGGCGUAAAGGGCUCGUAGGUGGUUGAUCGCGUCGGAAGUGUAAUCUUGGGGCUUAACCCUGAGCGUGCUUUCGAUACGGGUUGACUUGAGGAAGGUAGGGGAGAAUGGAAUUCCUGGUGGAGCGGUGGAAUGCGCAGAUAUCAGGAGGAACACCAGUGGCGAAGGCGGUUCUCUGGGCCUUUCCUGACGCUGAGGAGCGAAAGCGUGGGGAGCGAACAGGCUUAGAUACCCUGGUAGUCCACGCUGUAAACGGUGGGUACUAGGUGUGGGGUCCAUUCCACGGGUUCCGUGCCGUAGCUAACGCUUUAAGUACCCCGCCUGGGGAGUACGGCCGCAAGGCUAAAACUCAAAGGAAUUGACGGGGCCCCGCACAAGCGGCGGAGCAUGCGGAUUAAUUCGAUGCAACGCGUAGAACCUUACCUGGGUUUGACAUGGAUCGGGAGUGCUCAGAGAUGGGUGUGCCUCUUUUGGGGUCGGUUCACAGGUGGUGCAUGGCUGUCGUCAGCUCGUGUCGUGAGAUGUUGGGUUAAGUCCCGCAACGAGCGCAACCCUUGUUCACUGUUGCCAGCACGUUAUGGUGGGGACUCAGUGGAGACCGCCGGGGUCAACUCGGAGGAAGGUGGGGAUGACGUCAAGUCAUCAUGCCCCUUAUGUCCAGGGCUUCACGCAUGCUACAAUGGCUGGUACAGAGAGUGGCGAGCCUGUGAGGGUGAGCGAAUCUCGGAAAGCCGGUCUCAGUUCGGAUUGGGGUCUGCAACUCGACCUCAUGAAGUCGGAGUCGCUAGUAAUCGCAGAUCAGCAACGCUGCGGUGAAUACGUUCCUGGGGCU